rnacentral:rRNA from 1 species
GAGUUUGAUCUUGGCUCAGAUUGAACGCUGGCGGCAUGCCUUACACAUGCAAGUCGAACGGCAGCAUGAUCUAGCUUGCUAGAUUGAUGGCGAGUGGCGAACGGGUGAGUAAUACAUCGGAACGUGCCCUGUAGUGGGGGAUAACUAGUCGAAAGAUUAGCUAAUACCGCAUACGACCUGAGGGUGAAAGUGGGGGACCGCAAGGCCUCAUGCUAUAGGAGCGGCCGAUGUCUGAUUAGCUAGUUGGUGGGUAAAGGCCCACCAAGGCGACGAUCAGUAGCUGGUCUGAGAGGACGAUCAGCCACACUGGGACUGAGACACGGCCCAGACUCCGUACGGGAGGCAGCAGGUGGGGAAUUUUGGACAAUGGGCGAAAGCCUGAUCCAGCAAUGCCGCGUGUGUGAAGAAGGCC